AACAAUGGGAUUCCAGACUGGUUUAUGGCUUCAGCCUCAAGGUGACAAAAGCAGUGACUGGAUCAGGACAACACCAAGGACUUAAAACAGUGUAUGGCAGAAGUGGUCAUAAUUGAUUUUCAGAAUCAUUCUGGAAAGAGUUAUGAAAACUGUAGUUAAACUGACAACAACCUUUGGAAUCAUGGACCACUUAUUGUAAAAAUCUGAGAGGAAGGUUUUAACGUGCAAUGAUUUUUUUUUUAAAGCAAUACUGCAUACUCAUCAUUAUUUCCUAAGACAAAAAAUAAAGCUUGUUCCUUUCUCCUUUA